AAGAAUCCAUCUAUACUGAAAUAAGCUUUAAAAAUGACAUACGGUCAUUACUUGCGUGAUAAACUUCAAUCAUGUUCUUCAGCUAUGUAUUUAUGUUUGUAAGUGUGAAGGUGGGUUUCUUACCAAAUGCCAACAAAACUGAAAUGAGGUUUUCAAUCAAGAUUUAAUAUGUUAAAAAGAAAUAGAUUUAACUUGUAAUUAUAUCUUUAAUUUUCAUUUUGAAUGAUUUUUCUCUUGUAAUGGAGAAAGUUAUUGAGAAAUUAGAAUCUUAUCAAAUGAGCUUCAAUAGUAUCAACAAACUUUGUUGGAAGGCAACGUCCAGAGUAGCUGGCCCGAAACGCAGAUUAACAUAUGUAAAAUACGCGAACAUCUAAUUUUUAUAAUCUAAAGAAUAUAUUUGUUGAUAAGAGAAAAUAGAAAAUAGUAUAAGCUUUGCAGAAUUUCAUUCUCCAACAUUUAUGCGCGUGCGCAUUCAAUCCAUGACCCAAAUUUUGUAGCUCCAUUGGCUAGUUUGCUUGUGACCAACAGUGAAACUUUACCAUCUUUAAUCUCAAGUCAUCUUCUCUAUACCAGAGAAAAUUUUGCAGUACAUAAGAACAUGAACAGUUUCCUGAACCAGUCAAGUAAAAGAGAUUUGAAAAAACAUUAAUAGCAGAACAAAAGAAGAUUCCUUUAGGAAACCAUUUUACAACAUUUACAAUUCACAAGUCUCUAUUAGUCAAGAUGCUUCAAGAAGAGCUGGACUAAGCUUUUGAAUGAUAUCAUCCCUCUGGCUAGGUGAGUAGGCCAACAUUUGGCCCAAUCAGAAGACCACUCUGUUACAGGGUUACCCAUUUACACGAACAAGGUUCUAGCAAUAUUGUGAUGAUGAAGAGAAACUUGAAAACAAAUGGAAUGAGGAGAAUGGGAGAAAGACAGCAACGAAAAUGGAAGUAAAUUGUAUUUGUUGUAAAUAAUUGAAUUUUUAAAUAAGGAAACAUAAUCUAUAAUUUACACACAUAUAUGCAUACAUAAGUACAUACAUUACAUAGAAAGAGACAUACACAUAUAUAUGCAUAUAUACAUUAUAUACAUACAUUACAUACAUAUAUACAUUCAUUACAUAUAUACAUUACAUACAUACCCUUUAAAAUUCUAUUUAAAACAAAAUAUUUCAUUGUUUCUGUGCAGUGUUUGUCCAAACCAUGUUUAAUUUUAACUGGAAGUUUAUUUCUUGUUUCAGGUGAAAGUUAAGUGUUAAUGUCUGACAAGAAGAAACACAUUGCCGAUAACAGUGCUGGUUUUUAUACUUCCAAUGGAAAGGGUAGUGGGUAGGUGUAUGAAUUCCCCACUUAUUCCUGGGGACCAUCCUUCUAUGAACAUCCUAUGUAUACUCAAGCCCAUAAGCAUCACGCAUUUACACUUCCAUACAAAAGUAUUAUGUUGUUGCUAGAACAAAACAGUGGCUGGCAGAAAUGGCAGAGCACCAGACACAUGUCUUUUUAAAUGUUUUAGGGAGAAAACAAAGGGGAGCCCCUUUGACCAUCUUCAGAGAGACUGAGGGAGAAGAAAGGUUAAAGACCUGACCUAAAUGCUUGCAAAAGAGCAGAAUCUGCAAAAGGUACCUGAUGACCAGUUAGGGUUGUUAAAAGAGACAGGUUAAGCUGACCAUCAAGAAUAAAAAUAGCACCUUCAUUCAAGUUCCACAGUUUCUCUCAAUCAAAUUCCACUCACAAACACUUUGGUCAACCCAACUCUGUGGUAGGCAACAACACUUGCCCAGGGUAUCUCUCACAGUGCAAUCAAGCCUAAAACCAUGAAGGAAUUAGCAGCAGGGUCUUUAAUCCUACAGCCCUUAAUGUUUUGUAAUGUAUACACAUUCUGGGGGUCAACAAACUAAAGAUAAGUCCUAGGGUUAAUUUGAAUAAAAAGGGAGGGAGUUCAGUGUAAGCAGAUCCUACAGAGUAAAAAAAUCUUCAUCAUCAUAAAACUAAAUCUUGUGUCCUUUUUUUAUAAUACCAUUCCCAUCAAGAACACUGAACCAACCCCAAUACAUGGCUGGUACUUUAUUUUAUUGACCUUAGAAGGGGAAAUGGCAAAUUAGUCCUUGGAUAGAUUUCAGCUGAAAACAUAAAGAAAUGUAAAUAAUGCAGCAGGAAUUUUGUCUUCAGAAUAAUUCAGUCUCAAUCAUUGCUCCCCCCCUCCACCCAUUUUCUACAAAUCACCUCACUAAACAAUAAUACACUGAUACUCUCUCUCUUUCCCUCUCUUCCCCCCCUCUCUCUAUAUAUAUAUAUAUAUACACACACACACAUAUAUAAGAAAUAAUUGAGAUUCAGUUGAAUUAGGUACUUAAGUUGAACCAGCAAAUCAGUCCGGUUUUAUCUGCACAGCUUAAAGAUGAAUAGAAUAAAACUAAGCAAUGGCGUAUCAAGAAGUACGAUUGUUUCAAGCAACUCCAUUUAAUUGAAUUGAAUUCAAUUAAUUGGAGCCGCUUGAAACAGUCGUACUGCAUUACUACUUGAUACCCUGUUGCUUAGUUUGAUUAUAUACAUCAUCAUCAUCAUUUAACGUCUGUUUUCCAUGCUGGCAUGGGUUUGAACAGUUUGACUGAGUGGCUGCACCAGGCUCCAAUCUGAUCUGGCAAUGUUUCUACAUCUGGAUGCCCUUCCUAACACUCCGAGAGUGUGGUGGGUGCUUUUUACAUGCCACAGGUAUACUGUAGCCAUUCAAGCAGGCCUGGCAUCGACCAUGUUCAGUUGGUGCUUUUUAUGUGCCACUGGCAUGGGAGCCAGUCGGGUGGACCUGGCAUUGCCCACAUUCAGAUGAUGCAUUUUAUGUGCUACUGGAACGGGAACCAGCCAGGGGUCAGUGGCUACAGCUACGAUUUCAGUUCUACUUGACUUAACAGGUCUUCUCAAACAUAUAUCGCCCGACGCAUCAGGGGUACUUUUAAAUGGGCUGGACAUCUAACACUGGCAUUGGCCAUGGCUGCAAUGUCACUUUAGUUGCUGGGUCUUCUCAAUCACAGCAUAUAUCCAAAGGUCUCGGUCUCCUGUCAUUGCCUAUGUGAGGCCCAGUGUUCGAAGGUCAUUCUUCACCAUCUCGUCUCAUGUAUUCUUGGGUCUACUUCUUCCACAGUUAGGGUGUGGCACUUCCUCACACAACUUUCCUCAUCCAUACAUAACACGUGACUGUACCAGUGAUCUGUCCAAGUUCCGCAUAUAAUCCCUUGCCAGUCCUAACAUCUUCAAUACAUCCAACCAAUGGUUGGGUUCCCUAUAAUCAAAGCUAAUUUAUAACGAACUAUUCACGGAGGAGGAGGGAGGAAGUUAAAUAAAGGAUUGAGUUAGUUCUAAGACCAGAGACUGAAUAUCAAAGGUUGGGAACUUCCAAAGUUAAUUAGGGUGUCUUAAGGGAGCUGAGAAGGGUUCAAGAUUUAUUUAUUAAAGCUCAACAGUAAACUAGAGAAAUUAGGGUUGUUAUAGGGGUACAGUAUUCUUUUUUUCUUUAGGUAUCUGAAGGUGAAAUAGCUUAAUAGUAACUACUUUGGUGUGUUGUACUUUCGCGUUCAACAGUCGAUGGGGCCACUCUGGGACCAACAAAAUAAGUACCAGUCAUACUGGAAUAAAGUAUAUUAUUUUUUUUCUCUUUCAUUCAGAAUUUUGGAAAAGUGUUCCCUCGAGAGAAAUCAAUAUUUGGGGGAAGAUCUUUAGGGACCUUGUUGCACAGUGUGAGAGAAGUUACAGGGCCUACCUGAGAACCCUUUAAAACUACCUCUGGUCCAAGUCUUAGAGUGGUGCUGCAAGAUUUUUAACAAAGCUAGAAAUCUGUGAAGAACUGCUGUGUUUGUAGCAAUGGUAGAGGAGAGAGAGAGGGGGGGAGAAGAAAGUAAGAGUGGCUGUGGGGAGGUGAUGGGAGGGGAGUGGAAGAGCAAGAGGGAGAAGUGAUGCAUGGGAGAGACAAAGUCAGAGAGGAGGAGGAGGAGGAGGAGAAGGAGGAAGAGGAGGAAGCAAGUUUUUUUUGUAAAUCAAUAUCUGUGCAUACGCUCCAGUGGAUUAGUCAGGAAUAAGAUGUAUGAGGAUGUGCAGGGGAUCAAUAACUUGUGAGCAGAUUAGUAAUAGGAUAGUUUUCGUAUGGCAGCUGUGAGGAGGUGAGAAGCCACCAGCAUCGUCACUGGCUGUGAUUGUCUCUUCUCACUUUAGACAUAACCUGUUCAGUGACCAGCAUCAAUGAGAGGCUCUUGAUGUGGUCACCAGACCAGGUAGAAAUAACAGCCAUGUUCUCUAUAAAUAAUACUCUAUUCUCUUAUCAAAAAAAAAAAGGACAGACAUUGUAAAAUGUAAUCCUAGAUAUGCAAAUAGAUGGGAGGGUCACAUUUAGAGUGCCUUUGCUGAUAGGCCUGCUCAGUGAAGCUCAACCUUUGGCUAAAAAAAAUAUAUUUUUGGCUAAAAAAUAAAAACAAAAAAAUAUAUAUAUAUUUUUAUUACUGACAGCUAAAUACAA